UACGGGGGGGGCAAGCGUUGUUCGGAAUUACUGGGCGUAAAGCGUGCGCAGGCGGUUUUGUAAGUCUGACGUGAAAUCCCCGGGCUUAACCUGGGAAUUGCGUUGGAGACUGCAAGGCUAGAAUCUGGCAGAGGGGGGUAGAAUUCCACGUGUAGCAGUGAAAUGCGUAGAGAUGUGGAGGAACACCGAUGGCGAAGGCAGCCCCCUGGGUCAAGAUUGACGCUCAUGCACGAAAGCGUGGGGAGCAAACAGG
rnacentral:rRNA from 1 species